AACAGAGACGGCAAGCACUAUUCCACAUAACUGGGUGUAAAGGGUGAGUAGGCGGGUCUUUGGAACCUUGACAGAAAAUGCUUAUGUGUCGCCAUACUUUCUGACAAAGGUAACUCUGAUCUAUGAGAUAUGCAGAGGUUAGCGGAAAUGGCUUGAACGUCUAUGUCUCGAUUAGAGAUCAUACGCACGGUACCGCCGUAGGCGAAGGCGGCUAUCCAGGCAUAAUCUGACGCUGAGGUCACGAAACUUAGGGGAGCGAAAUGG
rnacentral:rRNA from 1 species